UUAUAAUUUGUUUUCUAUUUCACUCAUACCAAAUGAGAGUGAAACUCUUUUGGUUUCUGGCUAAUGCAUUCAAAAGUCCCUUGGCCAUCACAGUGAAAAAGAAACCUGCAGCCAGACUUCGCAACUUGUAAAACCUAGGCAGAAGUAAAGGGUACCUACAUGUACCCUUGACAGAGGAAUGUUCUUUGGAGUCUCAAACGGGUGUGCCUACAUUCUCUGGCAUCCAUACUGCCCAUUAUUGUGGAUCGCACAGACCACAGGGACUAGGAGGUUGGAGAGGUCAAGAAUGCAGAAUGAUCUGAUAGAGAUGAUGAGAGAAAUUAGGUUUCAUGAGUCUGCCAUAUGA
rnacentral:lncRNA from 1 species